GCCAGUUUAUUUACGAGAUUUGAUUGGGAGGAUGGUUGCCAACUACACCCUUUCUCCUAUCAAAAGGAUAAGAAACAGGUGUUUCGAAAGUGCCCAUGGCCAUAAGGGAGAAAGAGCACCAGACCAUCUGAAUAACGUGAAAGUGGACACAGGAAACACCAGACACCCAGAGAAAUGGAGUCCAAAUGAUCUAACUCCUUCAUCCUGGCUGGAGUGCAGUGGUGCAAUCCUAGCUCACUGCAGGCUUAAGCGAUCCUCCUGCCUCAGACCCCCAAGCACCUAGGACUACAGGUAUGCGCUGUCACACCUGGCCAAUGUUUCUAUUUUUUUGUAGAGUCGGGGUCUCCCUAUGUUACCCAGGUUGAUCUCGAGCUCCUGGCCUCAAGUGAUCCUCCUGCCUUGGCUUUUCUGGCUACUUAGACUCAUAAUUAUUUUGAUUUUUGCUGUGUUGUUGGGUGUAUUAAUUGGUCAUUCCUUUAUGUAGAUGAGUAAUAUUCCAUUACAUGAAUAUAUCACGGUUUGUGUAUUCUUUCACCUGUUGGUGAAUAUUUAGGUUUUUUGGCGUUUGAGCUAUUACAAAUAACAUCAUUUUGAACAUUAUUCCUUAAAUACUUAGGAGUAGAAUGGCUGCACCACAUGGUGGGUAUAUGUUUAACUUUUUAAGAAACUAUCAAACUAUUUUCCAAAAUGGUUAUAGCAUUUUAUAUUCUCAUCAAUAGUACGUGAGAAUAUUUGUUCCUCAACAUUCUUCCCAACAUUUGAUAUGACCAGGCUUUAUAAUUUUAUCCAUACUAAUAAGUGCAUAGUGGUAUCUUAUUGUGGUAUACAUUUUUGUUUUCCUAAUGAUUAAUCAUAUUGAGCAUCUUCUCCUGUACUUAUCUGCAAUCCUUAUAUCUUCUUUGAUGAAAUAAGUGUUCAUCAAUAUUUUGAACAAGCAUGUUUUGAAUAGUCAUUUUAUCAAAGAAGAUGUAUGGUUGGCAGAUAGGUAUAGGAGAUGCUCAAUAUCAGUAAUCAUUAGGAAAGUGAACAUUUAUACCACAAUAAGAUACCACUAUACACUUAUUGGGUCAUGUAUCCUGUAAACACAUAAACCACAAAAAUUAAAAAUGACUAAAAGAAAUGGCUUUUCAUUUUGCUCAUUUUAAAAACUGCAUUGUUAUUAUUUUUUAAGAAUUUCUCAUCUACCCCGAUUAUAGGUAAAUUAUAUAGAAAUUCUUCCAAUCUGUGCCUUUUCUUUUCCAUUCUCAUUACAGAGCAAGUGUUUUUAAUUUUGAUGAAG